rnacentral:rRNA from 1 species
CAAUAGCGUAUAUUAAAGUUGUUGCGGUUAAAAAGCUCGUAGUUGGAGUUCUGCCAGGUGCCGCCUGUCCGCCCCAGUGGUGAGUACGUGGCGCGCAUUUGGCCCUUUCAAGGGGAGCGUAUCUGCACUUUAUUGUGUGGUGCGGGAUCCUUGACUUUUACUUUGAGGAAAUAGGAGUGUUCCAAGCAGGCUCUCGUCGUGCACAGCUCAGCAUGGAAUAAUAGCAUUGGACCUCGAUUCUAAGCUGUUGGUUGCCAGAAGCGAGGUAAUGAUGAAGAGGGAUAGUUGGGGGCAUUCGUAUUUAACUGUCAGAGGUGCAAUUCUUGGAUUUGUUAAAGACGGACUACUGCGAAAGCAUCUGCCAUGGAUGUUUUCAUUGA